rnacentral:lncRNA from 1 species
UGCAAAUUGACAUUUUGGGCUGCCUGUGGCAGAGGAGCCGCCGUCAGCCGCUGUCCAACGUUCACGCAGAGCGGGUGGCGGCGUGUGCGCCUCCGGGGCUGCUGAUCAGAAUAGGGACUUGGCGGCGGAUGGAAUCCGGGCAGAGCCAAGCCGGGAUAGAAGGCUGCGGGUGCACUGGCCGCGCGUGAAUGAGCCUCGGAUAUCAAAGCGGACUGCAGUACCUGUGCGGAAAUAGAGGACAGAAAGGUAAGUCAGUAUUUUUCAUCCUUUUGGUUUCAAGCAGAACGAGAACUCUGUGACUUAAACCCAAGUGUUUAAGGCAUGCCUUGCUGGACGCUGUCUUGCAAAGGUGAUCCAUGUGCUGAGCGUAG